GACAGAGGUGGCAAGCGUUGUUCGGAUUCAUUGGGUGUAAAGGGUUCGUAGGUGGUCUAGUAAGUCUGACGUGAAAUCCCAUGGCUCAACCGUGGAACUGCGUUGGAAACUGCAAGACUUGAGUACCGCAGAGGUGAAGGGAAUUCCCGGUGUAAGGGUGAAAUCUGUAGAUAUCGGGAGGAACACCAGUGGCGAAGGCGCUUCACUGGGCGGUUACUGACACUGAGGAACGAAAGCAAGGGGAGCAAACAGG
rnacentral:rRNA from 1 species